GGAAGUACAAGUCGUAACAAGGUUUCCGUAGGUGAACCUGCGGAAGGAUCAUUAUUGUAUAACCGAGGUGCGAGGGCUGUCGCUGACCCGAAAGGUCGUGCACGCCCGAGUGCCCUCACACACAUCCAUCUCACCCCUAUGUGCACCACCGCGUGGGUCCCCCUUUGGCUUGUUCGGAGGGGGGCUUACGUUUUCAUACAAACUUUGUAUGCAGUAUAGAAUGUAUUUUUUGUUUUUGCGAUCACGCAAUCAAUACAACUCUCAACAACGGAUCUCUUGGCUCUC
rnacentral:misc_RNA from 1 species